GAGGUAAUAAAAAUUGGAUGAAUAUAGGAUAAAAAGAUAAGCAUUAUUACUUUCCAGUAGUAAUUGAUGAAGAACCGUCUUGUUUUCAUAAGGAAAAAACUAGAAAAUAUUGGCAAAAACAUGCUUACUGGUAUGCAUAUGGGAGUUCCUUGGAAGCAAAGAUAGUUAAGGAGAAGUCCAAAAAACUUCAUACGUGAUGGAGACUGGCCACAUAAAAAACUAGAACCGCAGGAUAUUUGCUAUUUGUCCCAAAAGUUAUAUUUAUCAACUAAUUAAAAGAGCGGGUCAGUGCCCUUCACACAUAAAGUAUUUCGACUUGUCCUUAACUAUAUUUGCUUCACAUGAACUCCCUAACAAUAAGCAUGUCUUAGCCAACACUUUCCUGUUUUUUUGAAAUAUGAUAGAAAU
rnacentral:lncRNA from 1 species